rnacentral:rRNA from 1 species
GAUGAACGCUGGCGGCGUGCCUAAUACAUGCAAGUCGAGCGAACAGCCGCGUAGAUUGCUCCAAUUACAUUAUCGGCGGACAGGUGAGUAACACGUGUAUAACAUACAUAUUAGACUGGGAUAACUUCGUGAAAAAGGAGCUCUUAUCGCAUAAUAUAUUACACCGCAUGUUUCCAUAGUAAAAGACGGUUUUGCUGCCACUUAUAGAUGGAUCCGCGCCGCAUUAGCUAGUUGGUAAGGUAACGGCUUACCAAGGCAACGAUGCGUAGCCGACCUGAGAGGGUGAUCGGCCACACUGGAACUGAGACACGGUCCAGACUCCUACGGGAGGCAGCAGUAGGGAAUCUUCCGCAAUGGGCGAAAGCCUGACGGAGCAACGCCGCGUGAGUGAUGAAGGUCUUCGGAUCGUAAAACUCUGUUAUUAGGGAAGAACAAAUGUGAAAGUAACUAUGCACGUCUUGACGGUACCUAAUCAGAAAGCCACGGCUAACUACGUG